rnacentral:lncRNA from 1 species
CGGAAAAUAUCAGCGGAGGAGUUCCAUUCCACGAAAUGCCGGGAGGAAACUUCUGGGAUGACAGCUCCGGAAAGCCUCCAGUCUCCAUCGUGUUCGCAGAAGACACCGAAAGCGUCGAAGAAAAUGUCCAAGGCGAACCCAGGAACAUAAGCGGCUUAGACGAUCCGUCAGCAGUCGCGCUGGACUACGUGUAAUGGUACAGUCGCCGGCGACGUUGACGCCGGCAAUUGUGGAG